rnacentral:sRNA from 1 species
GUAAGACGUGCCUUUCGCUUUCUGCCAUGAUUGUGAGGCCUCCCCAGCCAUGUGGAACUGGUGCAGCAGAAGACCCCCAGACGGCCCUGGCACUGAACUUCGGCUCUACGUUGUUGAAGAAGAAGUCUGAUCCUGAGGGUCCCGCGCUGCUCUUCCCUGAGAGUGAACUUUCCAUCCGGAUAGGUAGAGCUGGGCUUCUUUCAGACAAGAGUGAGAAUGGUGAGGCAUAUCAGAGAAAGAAGGCGGCAGCCACUGGCCUUCCAGAGGGCCCUGCUGUCCCUGUGCCUUCUCGAGGGAAUCUGGCACAGCCCGGCGGCAGCAGCUGGAGGAGGAUCGCACUGCUCAUCUUGGCCAUCACUAUACACAACGUUCCAGGUGAGGUCUUGCCCGUGAGCAUGACAGCCACUGCCUGAAGGUUUCCAUUUAGCUGCAAGAAACAGCACUGUAUUUUUCAAAGCACUAGAAAAUUCUGUGGUCAGUCCAGAAAGACAAAACAUAGCACCAGUGUGGCAAGAAGUGGAGCUAAUGCAGCAUUAAUGAUCCUGGAUGUUUCUGCACUUUCUUAUUAGAAUUUACCAUUCACCUCUAAGCUUCAGCUCUGCAGUGCCCCCUAUUUGGGAUUAUUGAGCAAUGUUUAACGGGAAAGAAAAGAUGUCUGUUCUCCAGCCAGUGACUCUGAGUAAUGAUAUAAG